AGUAUGACGUCACGAUCAAUAUAAGCGACAUCUCAAAUCACAUUUGCAUCGGUGUUAUUUUAGUGUUUGUUCUUCGAAAAAUUUCAAUAGAACUUUUGCCUUUUUUAAAUCAUGUCGGCAGGGGAUUCACUGGCCCCUGGUGCGGGGACGACGGGUACCGGCGGUGAAGAUGGCAUCGUGGGGGGACCCCGGACGCCACAACAGAUCGCGGCUCAAAGACGACUUCAACAAACGCAAGCGCAAGUCGAUGAAGUUGUCGAUAUUAUGAAAACGAAUGUAGAAAAAGUUCUCGAAAGAGAUCAGAAAUUAUCGGAAUUAGAUGAUAGAGCAGAUGCAUUACAACAAGGCGCGUCACAAUUUGAACAGCAAGCGGGUAAAUUGAAGAGAAAGUUUUGGUUACAAAAUUUAAAGAUGAUGAUAAUAAUGGGUGUAAUUGGACUUGUAAUCUUAAUAAUCAUAAUAAGUGAGUACAUCAAUUAUUUUUUCAUCUCACUAUCACCAUACCAUUUUAAACACAUAAUAUCAUAUUAUUAACGAAUGUACACAUAUUUACAAAAAAAAUCUACGUGUUAAAAUAUAUUUUUCUCAUUUUAAUGAUCACAUAACAUGAAAAUAUAUCUAUUUAAAAAUUAAAUAUUACGCGAGAAUGUGUUUAAACAUCCAGGGGACGUCCUGUAAAUAUAAAUAACGGUUACAACAACAAAAAACACGACGAUAAAUACCAAUAAAUGAUAUUUAAAUGGUUUUAUUUUUUCUUAGUGAACUUCAUGUAACUCAUCGGCCAAAAAUUCGGUAAUUCUGAAUGAAAUCUGUGUUAUUGGUGUAAAAGGCUUUCUGUCUGUCUUCCUGUCGUAGAGUACUUCAAAAAAAAUGUCUUCCCUCGUCACAAUACUUCAAUUGUAAUCUAUAAGUUCAUUAUUUUCGCAUACUGUAAGUAUUAUCAACACUCGCAAGCGGAAAACGCGUCCAUUUUGUUAAUUGUAUAUUGUGGUAACAACAGUGUUGCCAGAUAUCGCGAAAUAGAUUUAUAAAUACUUACAUUAUGGAAUUUUUGCACGGUAUUAGUUUUUUUUAUCAUGUGGCUUUGCUUGAUAUGCAUCGAUUUAGUAUAAAAAUUCGAAUGUACAGGCGUUUAAGAAAAUUCAUUGUCUAAACUACAUAAAUAUGGAAUUUUAUUAAUGAAGACAUUAUAACAAUUUUUUUUCAAAUCAAACUUAAUCUAACCUAAUAUCAUAAAGUUGCAGCAAUAACCUAACCUCAAAUAGCAUGAAGUAAUCUGACGUUUUGUCGGAAUCAGCUGAAGCCUAUUUAAAAAUGGCCACUGUGGGAUAAACAAACGCUUAUAUGUGUGGCUUUUCAAGUUAUAUGUUGGAUUUUAGAACUUAUUAUUCCCAUUUCUAUUACGAAAUGGCUUCUUAAAGAGUUACUACUUGAAUAAUAGCGGAAUUUCCUCCCGAAAAGAUGGCCGAGUUGUUUUUUUUUUUCGAAAAAGGGUACAACUCCACCUAAAGCUUUAAGUUGGAACAGUGGAAAUUAAUUUUCAAAAAAAAACUAAGUAUUCUAAAUUUUGUGAAUUGCUUAAAACAUUACCCACAAACUGACUAAAAACUAAAUGCAAAAAUACUCGACUGUGUUAGUUCCACUGAAAAUAUACAAAAAAGUAUCUAUGGAGUCCUUUCAACACCGUAAAAUAAAAAAAAAACAUAAAAAACCACCAAACUACAUGGGAAAAAUCAAGAAAAGCGAACUCGAGUACAUUCGAGAGAGAUUGUAUACCCCACAACCGCCAUUUUGACGUAGAUGAGCUGUUUUCUUAGAUUGCCUAAUGAAUUUCAACGCCGUAUAACCUAACCUCACUUGAUACGGACAUAACAAUAAUUUAAAAAAUUGAAAGUUGCAUAUUUUAUGUUUCACAAUAUAAAAUGAACAAAAAUAUUUAUAGCAAUAUACCUAUGUGUCUAAACAUAAUUUAUAUUCCUGUAGUUGCAAGGUCUACCAACUGUCUUCAGUUAAAAAUAACAACAAAACGAAUUUUUUUAAUACACUUGUAUAUUAUCAGAUUUUUUUGAAGCACGUAGUAUGCAUGGACGUAUUUAUCUAGAAAAAUCUUGUACAACUACCCAAAUAUAUUGUAAGGGACGUAGUUUUUAAAAGUAUUAUUUCGGAUAUAAUUAAUAAUUUUAGCAUACUGACAAGGCAACAUCGCAUUUUCUAAUUAAGUUCAAAGAACUUAAUCGAGCGUUAUGUAACCGGCAAUACAUUUUAUGACCUAUUAUUAAUUUUACCAAAUCUUGAGCAAAAUCAUACAUAGCUGUAUAAAGUAAUAUAAUAAAGGUCUACCUACUUGUGAAAAAAAUAUCUUCAGGUUUAAACACAUCGUUCCUACUGAAAAAACGGAAGUUGUUUCAGAAAAUAAUUUACAACACCGAAUCAGCUGUAAUAACAAACGUAAUAGCGUUGUCAGUUGACGUAUAAUCACUAAUUAAACUUCAAAUUAUAAAUAUUAAAUAUUGGUAUUAUUUAUUUUUGCACCACUUGAUGACAACAAUCCCUUUUGGAACUAAAUGCCUAUUUUAACAUCAUUUUUGUGAAAAUCUGAUUGUUUUAACACAAUCACGCCAUAGUUUCAUGACAUACACUUAACAAAGAUGUAACUCAUAUAAAUUUCAAAAUGGUGAUUCCACAGCCUCCACCGAAACUAUAAGCUGAUUCUCCCCUCCAUAUCUAUGAUUGAAAUUGUGCUGUGUAAUCUUGGUUGCCUAUUCUUCGAUCAUCGAAUAUAUAAUUUAACCAUUUUAUUUCGAGUAACGUGACGCGGAAUUGUUUUAGACACUUUUUUUUCUAUGAAAUGAAAAUAUAACACUACUACUAAUAAUAAGUUUGAUGUGAAUAACGCAAUAUUUGUGUUCCAAGACAAUACGACAGGUGGUUGUGACGUCAUCUCAAAAUGUUUUUUAUUUUUAGUUGUUGGUCAUAUGAAAAUGCCUAAAAAUGUAAACAACGAAAACUCGUAUUGUCAUAAAUAUUAAUUCAUUAACUUUUUUAUUUAUCUUUGAAAUAAUAACGUAGUAAGUUCAACAAUAUAAUUGGGUACAUGAUUAAGGAUUUAUUUGCAUGUGUGGUCGUCUAAAAACAGCCACAGUUCGGAUAAUUGGCAAAAAAAGAAAAUCUGCAAUUUAUGAAAACAAUACACCAAAAAUAAUUUAAUCUAUAAGUUGAUGAUUAGGAAAGUUGGUUGAGAUAAAAAUUCAAUUAUAAUAUAGAAGCUUGUACUUUAACCUAGAAAAAAAUAAUUUUUUUAAACAAACGAUAAUUUUAAUGUGGUUGAAUUACCAGUGUUUCUACAAAUGUAAAAAAAAGCGUAUUUAAACGAUACAUUAUAUCAAAUAAUUGCUAAUAUUUAAUAAGAAGAAAAGAAUAAAACACUUUUUUGAAUUAUAUUUUGCCCUGUAGGUAAAUAAAUACGAAAAUAUUUCAAUACAAAUGUAAUAAAAUGAAAUUCAUCUUAAAAUAGGCAAUCUUGUUUAUACAGAUUGUCCCAUAAGAUCGUUCUCGAAAUUUUUACAUAUCUGUUUGACAUUUCCAACGUCAACUGUCAGUUAUAGGUCGAAUUUAUAAUUUUGAGUCAUUACUUGAAUAUAUUCAAUAUUUAUGAUGUUUCUUAACACUUUUUAUUAACCUAUAAAAGUUUAGACUUCCUAUAAUAAUAUUUUAAGACUGAAAAUCUAAUAUACCUGAAUGUUAAAUAAACUAGGUAGUAUAUUUUCUUCUAAUAUAAUUAUAACGUAUUUAUUCUUUUCUUUUUACCUCCAAAUAAUUGAAAAUUGAUAAAUCAAGUAACAAAUACCCUAAAGAAACAAAUAAAUGCUUGUUUAUAGUUGCGUAUUUCAAAUUUCAGUCGAAUGAUCGUCAAAACCGCUCGCCUUAUCAAUUUUCUAAAAUUUCGUUCAUCUUCACCGUAAAAAAUUGCUUAUUUGAUAUUAUUUAUAAAUAAAAGUUCUAAUAAAUAAUUUGUUAAUAUAUGUCUAGCAGGUAUAUUUUUUCCAUUUUGAGAACUUGAUUAUCAAUUAUCAGAAAUGUAUCCAAUAUUAAUAAAAAUGAAUUUAUUUCGAAUAAAUUUGACAACAGCGUAAUGAUGAAUUAAUCAAAAUAAUUAUUGGCAUUAUUGAAUACAAUAAACAAUUACUUACUAUAGGUUAUGUCACUUGGUUCAAAUUUCACAAGUUCUCAAAAUUUAUAAUAAGAGACACAGUAUAUACACUAUUUUCACGAAAAAUUGAUUUUUUUAAUAAAGUUUUAUCACAAAUCACCGCCAUAAUGUAGCAAACAGACACUAGAAACUCGAAUCUACUACUAAAAACACUUUAACCUAGAAAAAUAUUGUUGACAUUUGCAAUGUUUAUUGUUCUUUAAGGUGCAUUUUCAUGUUGACGCUCGACGCUGGCUUAGUGCGUCAAAUUAGGUCACGUGAUAUAAUUUCGACUGAAGCGUCAUCUAAAUCAAUUCAACGUCAAAUAUAAGAGCGCCAAGCUUCAUAACGCUGAAAAAAAUACUAAAAUACACCACUUCUCAACAGUCUGUGAACCUAUAAACAUAAAAUGUGUGUAAUUUAUUCAAUCAUUUCUAAAUGAGUGAAUUAUUCUGAUCGAUGUAGUUUACGUAACACUAGUAAACAGCUGAUGAUAUAAAUUUAUGAAGUUUUUUGCUAUAAUGCCCGAUUUAAAGAUGUAUACAAUGUUUAGUUUUGACGCAGCACUAAUUUAAGAUGACGUUUCAGUUAAAAUUGUACCACGUGAUAUCAUUUGACGCUCUAAGCCAGUCAAGUGUCAACAUGAUAUUGUAACAUUACUAAAUAAUAUUGUUUAAAUAUAUUUCCUACUGUACAUAAUUACUAUUAACGUCACAGUUUACUAGUAAGACUAAUUGCAAGACUUUUAUACUUCUAAACAAAACUGUAACUUCUCAAAAUGUAUCUAGUGAAUUUUUUUAGCGUACUUUCAAGUUAUAUAUUUCUAUUCUUUAAAUAUAGUCAAAACAAACUAUAUAAACUCGGAAAAAAGUAGAUUCUAGUUUUGAAAAGUUUACUAUGAUUAACAAUUUUCAAUUCCUGGUGCCUUAUUUCUACCGGGAUCAUCUGACUGGCAAGCGUGGUUAGAAUGUAAAACUUACUUCAAUAUACGUUACAGAUUCUAGAUUAAUACAUUGUAUUCACGUUCACUAUAACACCCCGUAUAUUAAAAUUCACAACGAAUAAUUAAUAUAUAAUUGAAUCAACAACUAAAUAGACACUAUAACUGAAUAAUGAUUAGUUUUGGUUGUUUCCCGGUAAAAUGUCAUUUGUCGUUAUGAGAUUCGUAUAAUACUAACAGUGUUGCCGAUGUCAACACGUUUUAUCAGUAGGUGCUUCACCUUGAAUUGAAAAUUGUUUUAUUUCGUAUAACGUUUGUAGAUGCUGAAUGUAUAUAAUUUAGACGCUAAGCUGUAUUCCGGCAACGUCAGAACUUGUUAUCCAACAUUUUAAUUAUUUUUCACAUUUAUAGUUAUCACUAUUGCUUUUUUUCAAUAUUUUUUUCUAAUCGUAUCCUUGUUCAUCAGAUAUGAAUUUGGAGUGUUUUAAAUAAAAGGGUAACAUGUUCAAAUAGACAAAAAAAUCAACUUCCAAACUAUAAUGUUAGUUAAAAUAUUGGUUCGUAGGAAAGGAUGUUUAUAAAUGUAAAUAUGAACGCAUUCAUUCAAUAUUGAAAAUACCCCUCGACCCCAUAUAAUUUAUUAGUUGUUGACGAUUUUAGAAAUAUAAUAAUUUUUGUUGUAAACUUUUUUAAUUUGAUAAAAUUGUGAAAUUUCAAUUAAUAAAACAUGUGGCACUACUGUA